CCCGCUAUCCCGGUCACACCAGCCACCCCAUCUGCACACAGAUAAGACCCGCCCCCGAGCCCAGCAGUGAGGCUGUUACCAAUGUUUACAAUUAGGGGCACCUCCUCUGAGGCGUGUUUACUCUCCCACUCCCAAGGCCACUUGCUGGUUUGAGUUUCAUGUCCUUCUGCCCCUUACCUGAUUGAGGCCAACUUGAACACACAACCCUGAUCUUACAUCCCGACCCUCCAUCAAGGCCAUGGUGAGGACUGUGUGGGAAGAAUAUUCCUUGUACAUACUCAGCACAGCCCCUAGAGUUUGGACUUGUACUAUUGUUCUGUAAAGAGGGUGAAAUAGAGCUUAUUGUAAAGCGUUGGGNNNNNNNNNNNNNNNNNUUUGUAACAAUAUGGUUCUUUGUAUACACAAAACUCAAUGAUCUCUAUAUAUAAUUAUAAAUAUAUAUAAAUAAGAUAUAUAUACACGUGAGCCUGGAAUGUUGAUGCCGCACACCCACUGAAUGUAUUUCCCCUGACAGUCUGGUCACUGGGCUGGCCCGCCCUCCCCUCCUCCGUACUGUUUUGGGGGUUGUGAUGUAUUUAAUGUGUUCUCUUCCUUUAUUUAACUGAACGCUAAUGUCUGUAAGAGUUGCCGCAACAAUAAACAAGAAUGUUACCUCUUGGCUCUGGCUCAGUGUCUUCGUGUUUCAGGGGAGGGACAAGACAAAGUGGGGGAAAGAUGUCAUCAUCCCAAAAGGCUACCUCCUACCCAUCCCAUGGGGCCUGCACAGUGCCCAGAGCCCAUUGCCUUCACGGGCAGGUUCUGUGAAGCAACUCAGCUAGAAAACACAAGCAGCUGCGUCAGCUGGUAAAGCAGAAAGUCCACUGUCUCGUCGGCCUCCUGGGAGCACACUGAAUGAGACACAGGAACCCUGUAGGCUUCUCCGUGAGGGAAGGGAAGUAGAAGCGAAUUACCUUCCCCAAGAAAUCCCCAAGGAGGGGAGGUAGCCCUGCUUAAGUGGACUGCAGAAGGAAACGUUCCCUGUCCCAUCUCCCCCACAUCCACUGGCUCAGGGUUCUCCUGAGCUCUUGGCACUUCUGCUUUUUGAAGUUUGCUGGGCAUGACACGCCUUCUGCCAGUGGUGGGUUGGGGGCACCCAGUGCACUAACACAGAGUAUCUAGCCCUGUUUCUAAAGUAAAAAAUGCCCGUGACACUUUCUCUCUGUGGACACCACUUCCUGCAGAGCCCAGUCCCAGCCCUUGAUGGUCUGUUAGUUGGGGCUGCUGCAAGCCUUUGGGGAUAGAACUGUGCCUUGUACCAGAGGUCCUGGGAUAGCCUCCUGCAACCUGGCGCCAGGGGCCUCCUCCCAACCUUUGUCCCCUCUCACAAAGGCAGAUCUCAUCACACAGAGAUGUCCACUGUACAGGAAAGUGGAAAGAGAGCACAUCUCACUGGUGUGUGAAGAAGUCACAACUUGGAGAAUGAGAAAUAGCCCGUCUUUCAGCACCUUCUAUGUGCCAGGCACUGUUUCAGAUUAAUUCUGUUUACAGAGUAAUUCAGUUAAUCCCCACAGCGCCCUCAGGAGGUAGAUUACACUCGGUGCCCAUCUUCCAGAUGAGGAAACAGGCACC
ensembl:lncRNA